AUUGAACGCUGGCGGCAGGCCUAACACAUGCAAGUCGAACGGUAACAGGAAGCAGCUUGCUGCUUUGCUGACGAGUGGCGGACGGGUGAGUAAUGUCUGGGAAACUGCCCGAUGGAGGGGGAUAACUACUGGAAACGGUAGCUAAUACCGCAUAACGUCGCAAGACCAAAGAGGGGGACUUUAGGGCCUCUUGCCAUCGGAUGUGCCCAGAUGGGAUUAGCUAGUAGGUGGGGUAACGGCUCACCUAGGCGACGAUCCCUAGCUGGUCUGAGAGGAUGACCAGCCACACUGGAACUGAGACACGGUCCAGACUCCUACGGGAGGCAGCAGUGGGGAAUAUUGCACAAUGGGCGCAAGCCUGAUGCAGCCAUGCCGCGUGUAUGAAGAAGGCCUUCGGGUUGUAAAGUACUUUCAGCGGGGAGGAAGGGAGUAAAGUUAAUACCUUUGCUCAUUGACGUUACCCGCAGAAGAAGCACCGGCUAACUCCGUG
rnacentral:rRNA from 1 species